AUUAGUACGCAUCGCCGCCACGAGGCGUCGGAUCUGCGAGCUACGAGUGAGGAACCGCGAGCCGAUUACUAGUAUCGCAAUUUUAUUUAGCAUUAUUUGCGGAACGGCAUGUGAGGAAGAUACGUUCCCCAUAUUGUUAUUCAACUUUGCAGCCCUUUGCGACCUUUGUAUCAACCACCGACUUAAAUAUCCCCCCAAUUAUAGGUAUCCACCGACUGUACGAAAGGAUUCAAAGGUGAAAGAGCACGAUUGGAGAAUGGCUCAUGCUACGUCGGACUUGAUAUGGAUCGAACGGGGACGUACUACAAAAGGUUGUCGACACUGACAAGUAUGGAAGAUCUAAAGCCGCCAUCAAACGGCGUCGGAACCGACGCCGGGAAAGGGACGGAGGGCGAGCAAUAGAAUCUAGAAGUCCCGUAAUAGAGGUUAUGGGUGCAACGCGUCGGGUAUCGUAGGUUAGUGUGUCCGAGGCAAGAUGACGUCGUCAUGGUUCUGACUCGGUACGCCGACUAUAUCCAAUCCGGUAAGUUCAAGGAGAGCAGACUGGCAUGUUGGGAGACGUGUGUUGAAAAGGAGACAGACAACUGUAGAAGAAGAAAGAGAAAGAGAGAGAAAGAGACGCAGUAAGAAGUGAACCAGGAGAAAGAACUUAUGGCUGCCAAGCUACAGCUAUUAAAAAUACUGUUCUGUUCUGUUCCGUGGCGUUGAAGUCAAAGAAGAAAAUAAAACUGUGCGGCCUUGGACUCCCUCCACCAAUCACAACGUCCCCUGCGACAGCGUCACCUCCUCCUCCACCAAUAACGUUCCUGGCGUUACGUCGCAACUUUAGGAACCCGCGCGCCGCGUAUCCUAAACCCGCUGUACAACUUAACGCUCGCCACGGCUGGCCUCUUUUCCAUCCAUUUGUACUGACUUUUAGGUGAAACGCGACAAGAUGAUAUGCAGAGUACAGAGAGACGCGCAGAUUCAUUGUAAAUUCUAUAAAAUUGCACUCGUGUCUAUUUCAGCCAAUGACUCCAUUUAGCUUAUUUGUCUCUAUGUAAGAUCCUCUAAGAAUGUUUCCUUGAUGUAACAUUAGAUCCUUUAUCGGAGUUA